GGCAGGUGGCGGCUUGCCAAUACUGGCAAGUCGAGCGGACAGAAGGGAGCUUGCUCCCGGAUGUUAGCGGCGGACCGGAGAAUAGGGCGUGGGUAACCUGCCUGUAAGACUGGGAUAACUCCGGGAAACCGGAGCUAAUACCGGAUAGUUCCUUGAACCGCAUGGUUCAAGGAUGAAAGACGGUUUCGGCUGUCACUUACAGAUGGACCCGCGGCGCAUUAGCUAGUUGGUGAGGUAACGGCUCACCAAGGCGACGAUGCGUAGCCGACCUGAGAGGGUGAUCGGCCACACUGGGACUGAGACACGGCCCAGACUCCUACGGGAGGCAGCAGUAGGGAAUCUUCCCCAAUGGACGAAAGUCU
rnacentral:rRNA from 1 species